GAGGAGCUCAUCAGAUGAGGUCGGCUCAACAGAUUCAUCCGACACCGACCUGAAGGAAGGAAGGAUCGGUCGAGGGCCCUACCACAGCCAAAGCCACCAAGGGGGGAGGAAUAGCCUGAGGAUCGACCUCCAAUCGAGAUCCUCCACACCAUCUCUAGAGGACCCCGACAGGGAGCGGCUAGUGGAUCGAUCGUACCACCCAAGCGGCAA
rnacentral:lncRNA from 1 species